AUUUAAUAAACUGUGUUACCGCCGUUGAUAGUAAACUUGAAAAUAAUAGCAGAAAGCAAAUACACUUUAUUCAUAGUCUUUGUAUGUUUGGAAAGUACAGAAAAACGCAAACCGGAAGUCUAGUCUGACUUAAAAUUUCGUCCAUUGACGGAAAAAUAUCCGGACGCAUUUUUUUUCGUAUUUCUCCCAAACUAACCCAAACUGAAUAAUCACAAGAAUGGAUGACAAAUGCGAAUAUGCAUGGUACCUAUAGGACACA
rnacentral:lncRNA from 1 species